UAAGGAAUAUUGGACAAUGGGCGCAAGCCUGAUCCAGCCAUGCCGCGUGAAGGAUGAAGGCCCUAUGGGUCGUAAACUUCUUUUAUACGGGACAAAACCCCCCGACGUGUCGGGGGUUGAUGGUACUGUAAGAAUAAGGGUCGGCUAACUUCGUGCCAGCAGCCGCGGUAAUACGAAGGACCCAAGCGUUAUCCGGAUUUAUUGGGUUUAAAGGGUGCGUAGGCGGAUUUGUAAGUCAGUGGUGAAAGCCCGUCGCUUAACGGCGGAACUGCCAUUGAUACUGCAAGUCUUGAGUAUGGUUGAGGUGGGCGGAAUGUGUCAUGUAGCGGUGAAAUGCUUAGAUAUGACACAGAACACCGAUUGCGAAGGCAGCUCGCUAAGCCAUAACUGACGCUGAGGCACGAAAGCGUGGGGAGCAAACA
rnacentral:rRNA from 1 species